UACAGAGGUGGCAAGCGUUGUUCGGAAUUACUGGGCGUAAGGGCGAGUAGGUGGCCAUCUAAGUCAGACGAUGAAAUCCCCGGCUUAACCUGGGAACUGCGUCUGAUAACUGGACGGCUUGAGUAUGGGAGAGGGAUGUAGAAUUCCAGGUGUAGCGGUGAAAUGCGUAGAUAUCUGGAGAUACCGGUGGCGAAGGCGGCAUCCUGGACCAUUACUGACCACUGAUCCGCGAAAGCUAGGGGAGCAAACGGGAGUUAGAAUACCCUAGUA
rnacentral:rRNA from 1 species